AGAGUUUGAUCCUGGCUCAGGAUGAACGCUAGCGGCAGGCUUAACACAUGCAAGUCGAGGGGCAGGCGGGAUGUAGCAAUACAUUGCCGGCGACCGGCGGAUGGGUGCGUAACGCGUAUGCAACCUACCUUAUACAGGGGAAUAACCUUUCGAAAGGGAGACUAACACCCAUAGUAUUGAUUUAAGGCAUCUUAGAUUAAUUAAAUAUUUAUAGGUAUAAGAUGGGCAUGCGUAUGGAUUAGCUAGUUGGUAAGGUAACGGCUUACCAAGGCGACGAUCAUUAGGGGUUCUGAGAGGAAGGUCCCCCACACUCGGUACUGAGACACGGACCAGACUCCUACGGGAGGCAGGCAGUGAGGAAUAUUGGUCAAUGGGCGCAAGCCUGAACCAGCCAUGCCGCGUGCAAGGAAGACGGCCUUAUGGGUUGUAAACUGCUUUUACAUAAGACUAACCGUAUAUUUGCGAAUAUACCUGAAUGUAUUAUGAGAAUAAGGAUCGGCUAACUCCGUGCCAGCCGCCGC
rnacentral:rRNA from 1 species